ensembl:lncRNA
CAUUGUUCUGCAUGCCCCAGGCCAGAGCUGGCUGCACAACGCCGACAUCUGCGCUCGCUCUGUGCGUUCCUCAUACCACGGGGGGAUGGAAACAUCUGGGGGAAGGAUGGAGCGAGCCCUGCAGAAGGAGGAAGGUGAUGUGGAACAGAUGCCGGGAGCCGGCAGAGCCUUUGGAAGGGCUGCGUGCGUGCACGCAUGUGUGCAAGAGCUUCGUGGCUUCUGCUGGGAGAAGGGAGCUGCCCCGCUGCCUGCCACCCAGGGAGCGAGCCGCCCCACUGCGACAGGAGCUGGGCUGCCGUGCCAGGAGGUCACACGUUUCUCAAAGCUGCCGGAAGGCGGACAGCUUUGCAGCCAAGCAGAUGCUGCGUGCGCGGUGCUCACCCGCCCCGGGGAGCUGCGGGAGGGCCCCUCGCAGCCACGCAACCGGCACAGCGCGUGCUUUGGGACACCAAACAGCAAAGCCACAGAGCCUCAGCGUGUUGGGGUUGUGCGUUCAGAGGGAACCUGCACCUUCUGGACUCACCAAACGGCAGCCAAACCCGCGAGCCGAGCGCGGCAGCCCGCCAGCCCCUUGGAUUUGCUCUGUUACAAAUUACACACAGCCCGGGCAGGCAGGGCCUCUGCUCUUUGAAAACCUAUCCCUCGGUGUUUAUUAUAGAAACCAGUUGCCCUAUCUGUUGACAGCCAAAUUGCAAAAGGCCCCGCUGGAACCGCCGCCCCCCGUGCUCCCCUUCUGCCUGGGAUGCCUUUAUCUCAAUGGGCUUUGAGGUGCUGUGCUCGGGGACAGGGCUGCACAGCCACCCCCCGGUGCCACCAAGCACUCUCAGCAUGGAGAAAGCUCACCUGAAUGAUUGCAGUGCCACAAAGAGGACAGAAGGUAAUAAUUAAAUCAGAGAGGCGAUGCGAGGUCCUUUCAUACCCCAGCACGUUUUUCUGUGCCUCCAGGAGCUCCCAUAGGAGGUGGAGGGUUCUGAACUGAGGGUUAUCUCAGGAAAGGUUUCCUUAAAGCACAGCACUGAGCUGCAUGGGUUUGCUGGAGGGAAUGCAGUGUGCCAUGCACUGCAGUGUGCCAUGCAUUACCAUGCGCCAUGCAUUGCUGUGUGCCAUGCAUUACCAUGUGCCAUGCAUUGCUGUGUGCCAUGCACUGCUGUGUGCCAUGCACCGCCGUGUGCCAUGCAUUGCUAUGUGCCAUGCAUUGCUGUGUGCCAUGCAUUGCCAUGUGCCAUGCAUUGCCGUGCACCGGAGCAAGCCAUGAACCCUGCUUAUCGCUGUGCUGGGCGAGCGGGUCUGUUCCCAGCUCCUGCAGGUGAGUCACUUCCCCUCUAUCUCCUGCAUUUCCCAUGGGUAAAAACGGGCUUGAUAAGCACAGGUGUGUUUGAGGGAUUUAACCCCAGCGUGGCUGCACAGUGCCCUGGGGGCCGGGCUGGGUUCCUCCUCUCUUUUGUCUUCCAGGAUUUCCCUAAGGGGCACAGAACCAGAAUGGCACUGCUGGCUGCACGGGGCUGCAGUUUGCUUCCUUGCAGCACAACCCACAAAGAGCAGAGCAGAGAGCCCCCCAGCAUCCCCAGCACUGCACCCCAUGGGAUACCAGCACACCGCAUCCCCCCCACACCCCCUGCACUGCACUGCCCACCCAGGGACCCUCAGCAAGGGGGGGGGUUGCAGCCUGGGCCGGGCACCAGCAUUUCUUCCCUCUUUUUUUUAUUCCACUUUACUUUAUUAUUUUAUUUUUUUGGAGGCUUCGCCGGUGUCUGCCUGCUGACUGAAGCUGUCAUUAUCAGCUCAAUAAAUCUCUGGCGCGGGUUUUAUUGAAUCGCUGCCUGAGGGGGAACAAGCCUGUAAAGGUUGAGGAGAGCAGAGCUUUCCCACGCCUGAGACACGCUGCCGGAGCUCUUGCACACAUUCCGGGCCUGCCAGCACUCCGCAAAUGUUUGGACAGCCUUGAACAAAUAACACACCUUUAAAGAGGCCAGCAUGAAAUUCUUCCUCACCCCUCGGCCGCCCUCCCGCUGCCUCGUGCCCCCCCCCCCAGCACCCCGCAGUGCUCCAUGUGUGUGUGCGCGCGGGGUUUAUUUUAGGCUCGUGGCCGUGCUCCAGUUUCGGGGAGGAGGAUGGAGGAUGGGGAUGGGAGGAGGUCUGGCUUUUCCUCCCACAGCGCAGGGGAUGGAGCCAGGAUUCGCCCCAGCGUGGCGGUGGGGCCGAGGGGAGCCUCAGCAAGGAUUAAUGGAGCAGCCAGCUGCCUGCCUGCUGAGUUCUGGGAAUGUCAAACACUGCAGCCAUCUCAACAGCUCCUAAAAUUCCCCCUGACUCGUUUCCUGUUGCUGCUUUCCCGAUGCUGAAAGGCUCGGGCUCCCGUGGAUUAAAAAAAAAAUAAGAGAAUUGGAGGGGUUCCAGAAUUUAGGUUUCUGCCUCCUCCAUCUUCCCUGUCAACGCGUCGUUAAAUAAGAAGCAGGAACGCUGUAUUCGCCGUGCGCUCCUCACCAAAGGGCUGAGCGAAAAUCCUGCUGGAUGCAGCAGGUGACAGUCGGGUUCCCUGCUCCCAGGGUCUGUCCCCGUGUGCCAUACCCGAGCAGAGGGCGGGAGGAGCUGCACAGACCAUGACUUGGCUCCCUUUGGGGAAGCAGAGGCACACCUGAGGCGGGGAUGCUGCAAGGGGCAGGCAGCAAGCUGCUGCACGCACCCACUGACAACCAGCCGCACCUCGGGCGAGGUCAACAGUGAACGUAGGAUGGGAAGAGCGAAGGUUGAGCAGCACGGCGCAGGGCUGGGUGCAAGGUCCAUUGCCAGCAUGCUCAUAAAGUGUGGAUAAGGGAGUGGUUUCCAGCUGAGAAAACCUCUCACGUUGGUUUAGAGGCCACCCAGGUGUCCCCAGGUUGGAGGGGGCCAUGUGUCACCCGAGGCACGCAGCAAGGAGGAGGCUCUGCUGUGCUUUGGUUCUGCAUUGGAAAGGCUUUGCAGACGCAUUGCUGGGAUGGGGUGGGUGGUCAAUGCUUCCUUCCUCGUGACCACACCCGCACGGAUUUGAGUCACUGUGGGAUGAUGCCAAGCAGAGGUUGGGCUGUGCUCUUCUCUCCCAAAAGCCCUUGGGGGGGUUGGGUGCAUCCCAGGAACCACAGCGGGGUUUGGAGCGUCCCACCACUUGCUGUGGCUUGGCUGGUUUGGCCAAGGUCUCAGCCCGGCUUGCUGGUGCAGCUGCCCCCUAAAAAAAGCACAGGAACCACCAGUUUGCAGCAGGAGGCAGAUCAAACCUCCUGUUUGCUUUCAAGCCUUCAAUUGUCCGUUAGCAAAGUGCACACCACAGAAUGGGUGGCCCCUUUCCUGGAGAAGCUGUGAAAACCUGCUCGGUUCCUGUGCUAGGAAAGCAAACAAACAAACACGACCCGGCGCUGGGUUUCAGCACACCAGAGCAUCUGGAAGCAAACCCCGAGCCCCUGCCUUGCUGAUAAGAGCCAGCUCCAUUGCCCACCGAUGGGAGAACCUGGGGAUGUAAUUAGAGAUGCGAAGCGCUCGAAACAAAGGGCGAAAAGCAAUCAGCGAAAGAGGAGGGGGAGAGCUGUGAAGAAAGCAGGGCAACAACCAUGGCCAACAGACCCAUGAGGACACGUGAGUGCUGGCUGCCCAUCUCCCUGAGCUCAUUUCGUGGUCCUACAGCGGGAAGAAGACAAGAGGGUUCCAUACCACGGGACAUGACUUUGCCUUCCAACCAUUGGAUGAUGCCAACGUCCCCUUGGAGGUCAGUUCGGACGAGGUGCCAAGAGCACAGACACACUCUGGAAAUCUCAUUCCACACACCCACCCCUCCUCCCUCCUCGUUAUCCUUUAACUUCCCAAGGCGACCCGUCCCCCUGUUUGCUUGUGGCUGCCACCGCGCCGCAUCGCUUGGCCCUGAGGUCACUGGGGAUUGACACCUUCACCCAAAGCCCCGGAUUCCACCCUGCCCUCCUUAGAGAUGCACCAGGCUGUCAGUAACGAGGCCACAGGUUUAUUCAGUGGAGAUCCCCAGAUCUCAAAAGAUAAUCUGGGAAUAAUUGGGACUUAAGGAACUUGUGUGAAUCUGAUUUUUCUGCGGCGCUGCCAUUCACGAAACAGAUGGACAUCUUAUUUCUCCCUAAUUUGAUGGGCUUUCUUGACAAAAUGGCAGAGGUUGCACUUUGCUACAAUAAUAACCUGCCACUCAGACUUUGUAAGGGGUUUGUGUAGAUUUCUUCUUAAUUAGACCGUGUCUCGCUAUCGGCGAGCUGCGUGCGUGUGUGCAGAGCAGGGAGAUGGGGAGCAGCUCCUCUGCAUGACAGAGCCUGCAAAAGAGUGGGGAGGAAUCAGGGGGCUUUCAUGUUUGUGUCACUGGCUGCUUUUUUUUUUUUUUUUUUUUUUUUUUAAGUCUCAUUUGGAAAAUAAAGAUUGGGAUGUGAGCU